GACGAACGCUGGUGGCGUGCCUAAUACAUGCAAGUAGAACGCUGAAGAGAGGAGCUUGCUCUUCUUGGAUGAGUUGCGAACGGGUGAGUAACGCGUAGGUAACCUGCCUUGUAGCGGGGGAUAACUAUUGGAAACGAUAGCUAAUACCGCAUAACAAUGGAUGACACAUGUCAUUUAUUUGAAAGGGGCAAUUGCUCCACUACAAGAUGGACCUGCGUUGUAUUAGCUAGUAGGUGAGGUAAUGGCUCACCUAGGCGACGAUACAUAGCCGACCUGAGAGGGUGAUCGGCCACACUGGGACUGAGACACGGCCCAGACUCCUACGGGAGGCAGCAGUAGGGAAUCUUCGGCAAUGGGGGCAACCCUGACCGAGCAACGCCGCGUGAGUGAAGAAGGUUUUCGGAUCGUAAAGCUCUGUUGUAAGUCAAGAACGGGUGUGAGAGUGGAAAGUUCACACUGUGACGGUAGCUUACCAGAAAGGGACGGCUAACUACGUGCCAGCAGCCGCGGUAAUACGUAGGUCCCGAGCGUUGUCCGGAUUUAUUGGGCGUAAAGCGAGCGCAGGCGGUUUGAUAAGUCUGAAGUUAAAGGCUGUGGCUCAACCAUAGUUCGCUUUGGAAACUGUCAAACUUGAGUGCAGAAGGGGAGAGUGGAAUUCCAUGUGUAGCGGUGAAAUGCGUAGAUAUAUGGAGGAACACCGGUGGCGAAAGCGGCUCUCUGGUCUGUAACUGACGCUGAGGCUCGAAAGCGUGGGGAGCGAACAGGAUUAGAUACCCUGGUAGUCCACGCCGUAAACGAUGAGUGCUAGGUGUUGGAUCCUUUCCGGGAUUCAGUGCCGCAGCUAACGCAUUAAGCACUCCGCCUGGGGGGUACGACCGCAAGGUUGAAACUCAAAGGAAUUGACGGGGGCCCGCACAAGCGGUGGAGCAUGUGGUUUAAUUCGAAGCAACGCGAAGAACCUUAUCAGGUCUUGACAUCCCGAUGCUAUUUCUAGAGAUAGAAAGUUACUUCGGUACAUCGGUGACAGGUGGUGCAUGGUUGUCGUCAGCUCGUGUCGUGAGAUGUUGGGUUAAGUCCCGCAACGAGCGCAACCCCUAUUGUUAGUUGCCAUCAUUCAGUUGGGCACUCUAGCGAGACUGCCGGUAAUAAACCGGAGGAAGGUGGGGAUGACGUCAAAUCAUCAUGCCCCUUAUGACCUGGGCUACACACGUGCUACAAUGGUUGGUACAACGAGUUGCGAGUCGGUGACGGCGAGCUAAUCUCUUAAAGCCAAUCUCAGUUCGGAUUGUAAGCUGCAACUCGCCUACAUGAAGUCGGAAUCGCUAGUAAUCGCGGAUCAGCACGCCGCGGUGAAUACGUUCCCGGGCCU
rnacentral:rRNA from 1 species